rnacentral:lncRNA from 1 species
CGAUCUGCAUUUCUUUUGCGCCGAUUUUUUCUUUCAUUUGCGCCGAUUUUUAUUUUCAUUUGCGCCGAUUUUUUUACAGGUAAAUAACAGGUAAAUUACAGGUGAAAUGAUAUAAGAAGAUGUGGUAUGAGUGCCAAUGAGACAACUCUCCAUACAGUAAUGUUAAUAUUUUCAUUUAUCAUUAAAGACCUCUUCCGUUAGCCAGUUGUACAUAUGUUAUGAAUUGUCAAUCAUAACAUGUAUAUAUAACUGUUGUCUCCUGCUUAAAAUCAAGAAGUAAAAACCUAAGAUAAAAGCACUUUGUUUAUACUAAAAUGACGAAUUUAAAAAUAUAUGUACAGCAUUCAAAUCCAUAAAAACGGAAUACAUUCAAAUCAUAAAUCUGUUCUGACGAGUAUGUAUAGGCAACACAUCUAAUAUAUUCCUUUCUUAUGAUUUCGUCUCUCUAUAUUGGCGUAAUUGUCGAUAACGAAGGCCAUCUUUUCUUUGUCUGGCAUACGUACUGGUGGGGGCAUUUCUAGAGUUCGCAUUCUCUCACAAGGAAGCUAUUAAACCAAGAGUUCCAAAUGGUGAAGUUGAAAUCAUCCUUCGUUAAUCUUAUGGACGUCAUCACGAAUUGGUUGACCGUUAUGGAAUGUGUACUUGUACGUUGUCUAAGAAUGUAUGACAUUUGUCAUCAGAAGGAGCGGACGUCAGACAAUAUCAAACUUGAAGCAGUCAUCGAUUUCAUGUAGGAAAGGAAUGGUUACCCGAAACAUUGGGAUAGCCAUUUACCAAUUGCAAUGUCACUUGAUUUGUCUUUAUACUCUGUGCUUAGCCAAUGUAAAAGUAUUAACUUACCUGUAACUUACCUGUAAAUCCAAUUAUGAAAAAAUAUAAAUCGGCGCAAAUGAAAAAAUGAAAUCGGCGC